CCGUGCGUGGUAUAGUUCGGCAACGCGCCUGCCUAGUGAGUAGGAAUCGUGAGUUCGAGUCUCACCGAGAGGA
rfam:Aedes albopictus isolate Foshan contig45580, whole genome shotgun sequence.